rnacentral:rRNA from 1 species
ACGUGAGUAACCUGCCCUUGACUCUGGGAUAAGCCUGGGAAACUGGGUCUAAUACCGGAUAUGACCUUUCACCGCAUGGUGGGGGGUGGAAAGCUUUUGUGGUUUUGGAUGGACUCGCGGCCUAUCAGCUUGUUGGUGGGGUAAUGGCCUACCAAGGCGAUGACGGGUAGCCGGCCUGAGAGGGUGACCGGCCACACUGGGACUGAGACACGGCCCAGACUCCUACGGGAGGCAGCAGUGGGGAAUAUUGCACAAUGGGCGCAAGCCUGAUGCAGCGACGCCGCGUGAGGGAUGACGGCCUUCGGGUUGUAAACCUCUUUCAGUAGGGAAGAAGCGAAAGUGACGGUACCUGCAGAAGAAGCGCCGGCUAACUACGUGCCAGCAGCCGCGGUAAUACGUAGGGCGCAAGCGUUAUCCGGAAUUAUUGGGCGUAAAGAGCUCGUAGGCGGUUUGUCGCGUCUGCUGUGAAAGACCGGGGCUCAACUCCGGUUCUGCAGUGGGUACGGGCAGACUAGAGUGAUGUAGGGGAGACUGGAAUUCCUGGUGUAGCGGUGAAAUGCGCAGAUAUCAGGAGGAACACCGAUGGCGAAGGCAGGUCUCUGGGCAUUAACUGACGCUGAGGAGCGAAAGCAUGGGGAGCGAACAGGAUUAGAUACCCUGGUAGUCCAUGCCGUAAACGUUGGGCACUAGGUGUGGGGGACAUUCCACGUUUUCCGCGCCGUAGCUAACGCAUUAAGUGCCCCGCCUGGGGAGUACGGCCGCAAGGCUAAAACUCAAAGGAAUUGACGGGGGCCCGCACAAGCGGCGGAGCAUGCGGAUUAAUUCGAUGCAACGCGAAGAACCUUACCAAGGCUUGACAUGGACCGGACCGCCCUGGAAACAGGGUUUCCCUUCGGGGCCGGUUCACAGGUGGUGCAUGGUUGUCGUCAGCUCGUGUCGUGAGAUGUUGGGUUAAGUCCCGCAACGAGCGCAACCCUCGUUCCAUGUUGCCAGCGGGUUAUGCCGGGGACUCAUGGGAGACUGCCGGGGUCAACUCGGAGGAAGGUGGGGACGACGUCAAAUCAUCAUGCCCCUUAUGUCUUGGGCUUCACGCAUGCUACAAUGGCCGGUACAAUGGGUUGCGAUACUGUGAGGUGGAGCUAAUCCCAAAAAGCCGGUCUCAGUUCGGAUUGGGGUCUGCAACUCGACCCCAUGAAGUCGGAGUCGCUAGUAAUCGCAGAUCAGCAACGCUGCGGUGAAUACGUUCCCGGGCCUUGUACACACCGCCCG